UGGGGAAUAUUGGACAAUGGGCGGAAGCCUGAUCCAGCAACGCCGCGUGAGGGAUGACGGCCUUCGGGUUGUAAACCUCUUUCAGUACCGACGAAGCGGAAGUGACGGUAGGUACAGAAGAAGCACCGGCCAACUACGUGCCAGCAGCCGCGGUAAUACGUAGGGUGCGAGCGUUGUCCGGAAUUAUUGGGCGUAAAGGGCUCGUAGGCGGUUUGUCGCGUCGGGAGUGAAAACACUGGGCUUAGCUCAGUGCUUGCUUCCGAUACGGGCAGACUAGAGGCAUGCAGGGGAGAACGGAAUUCCUGGUGUAGCGGUGAAAUGCGCAGAUAUCAGGAGGAACACCGGUGGCGAAGGCGGUUCUCUGGGCAUGUCCUGACGCUGAGGAGCGAAAGUGUGGGGAGCGAACAGGAUUAGAUACCCUGGUAGUCCACACCGUAAANGUUGGGCGCUAGGUGUGGGGCCUAUUCCCAUGGUUCGUGCCGCAGCCAACGCAUUAAGC
rnacentral:rRNA from 1 species